rnacentral:rRNA from 1 species
AUGCAGUCGAGCGGCAGCACGGGUACUUGUACCUGGUGGCGAGCGGCGGACGGGUGAGUAAUGCCUAGGAAUCUGCCUGAUAGUGGGGGAUAACGUUCGGAAACGGACGCUAAUACCGCAUACGUCCUACGGGAGAAAGUGGGGGAUCUUCGGACCUCACGCUAUCAGAUGAGCCUAGGUCGGAUUAGCUAGUUGGUAGGGUAAAGGCCUACCAAGGCUACGAUCCGUAACUGGUCUGAGAGGAUGAUCAGUCACACUGGAACUGAGACACGGUCCAGACUCCUACGGGAGGCAGCAGUGGGGAAUAUUGGACAAUGGGCGAAAGCCUGAUCCAGCCAUGCCGCGUGUGUGAAGAAGGUCUUCGGAUUGUAAAGCACUUUAAGUUGGGAGGAAGGGCAUUAACCUAAUACGUUAGUGUUUUGACGUUACCGACAGAAUAAGCACCGGCUAACUCUGUGCCAGCAGCCGCGGUAAUACAGAGGGUGCAAGCGUUAAUCGGAAUUACUGGGCGUAAAGCGCGCGUAGGUGGUUGGUUAAGUUGAAUGUGAAAUCCCCGGGCUCAACCUGGGAACUGCAUCCAAAACUGGCCAGCUAGAGUAUGGUAGAGGGUGGUGGAAUUUCCUGUGUAGCGGUGAAAUGCGUAGAUAUAGGAAGGAACACCAGUGGCGAAGGCGACCACCUGGACUGAUACUGACACUGAGGUGCGAAAGCGUGGGGAGCAAACAGGAUUAGAUACCCUGGUAGAAUCACUAGUGAAUUC